CUCGGAUUGUCACUGAUUAUUCUUCUCUGGUUGUCUUUGUUUUGCAGGAGAGAUAGAUAGAUAGAAUAGACGAAGCUCAUGGAAACUCUGAUUGUUUUGAGUCUGAGGGGUUGCUGCUGGAGAGGGAGGAACUUGGAAGCCAUGAUAUAGCAAACCCCACUUAGAUCUAGCUACUUUCAGAUUUUGAAAAAAGGCACUUCACCGAUCAAAAAAAAAUGGCACUUAGUUCACAAUUGGGUGCUGAUGUUAACCAUUAAGCACAUGGUAGACCACCACUCAGUUUUAUCGAAUUGAUAGGUGCACUGCUCAGUUUCGGAAAUUGAGCGGUGCAAUGGCAGGACACCACUUCGUUCCGCAGAAUGAGUGUGCACUGCUCAGUCUCGGGUACUGAGCGGUGCAAUGGCAGGUCACCGUCAGUUCCUAAAACUGAGAGGUCCAAAGCUAUGUGUCUAAUGGAGAACGUCACACUUAAUGGAACUGAUCAGCUUCCGGACAAAUGAAACUAUUGGAAAACAGGUAAAUGAGCUUCUCUUUUCCUCCUUUUUUUUUUGUCGUUUUUCUUUCUUAUUUUAUUGAAAUCGAUGUUGGAAGUUUGGUACACAGCAAGGCAGUGAUACUCCCUAUGUAGUUCAGCUACAGCUGCUGGAACAUAGCUAAGUCUGAUUCUUGGGUAACGUUUCAAUGAAAAUAGCCCUAUUUAGCUUUUGUUAUAUUGCUGACUUUGGUACUCUGCUAGUAUAUUUAGGUGCACAUUCUUAACACUCUCAAUUUAUACUUAAAUUGCCCUUAUUUCUAGAAUGCCUGAGUUUUUUUUUGCUUGGUACAUGUCUAUCAUUUUGUUCAAGGUUUCUGCCCCUUCUUCUGAUGACUGUCAGGUCAGUACAUUUUUGCCUUAACAAAGAUAUUUGUUUCUAACUUGAGUGUUGCUUUUGUUUUUGUUUUUUGCAGGUCUUGCCUUUGCAUUCCUAACUCUAACUCUAUGUUUAUUAACACUUAUUAUCAUGUUUAUUAUGUUUUGCAUAAAAUUGUUUCUAACUUGAUCAUUGGAGUAUCUUUAUUGUUUUUUUUUUGCAGGUCUUGCCUUUGUAUUCCUAACUCUAACUCCAUGUUUAUUAACCCUAACUCUACUUUUAUUAUGUUUUGCAUAAAAUUGUUUCUACCUUGAGCGUUGGAGUAUCUUUAUAGUUUUUUGCAGGUCUUGGCUUUGUAUUCCUAACUCUAACUCUACGUUUAUUAUGUUUUGCACAAAAUUGUUUCUAACUUGAGCCUUGGAGUGUCUUUAUUGUUUUUUUGCAGGUCUUGGCUUUGUAUUCCUAACUCUAACUCUAUGUUUGUUAUGUUUUGCAUAAAAUUGUUUCUAACUUGAGCGUUGGAUUAUGUUUAUUGUUUUUUUGCAGGUCUUGGCUUUGUAUUCCUAAUUCUAACUCUAUAUUUAUUACGUUUUGCAUAAAAUCGUUUCUAACUUGAGUGUUGGAGUAUCUUUAUUGUUUAAUGCAUGUCUUGGUUUUGUAUUCCUAACUCUAACUCUACGUUUAUUAUGUUUUGCAUAAAAUUGUUUCUAACUUGAGCGUUGGAUUAUGUUUAUUGUUUUUUUGCAGGUCUUGGCUUUGUAUUCCUAACUCUAACUCCAGAAGUUUUCGCAAUUCAAUCAUGUAUGAUGGAAUCAUCAAAGAUUUGAUCUUUUCGAACUCUGUCUGUAACUCACUAGAGGCCCGGGAAACAAAGAGAAGAUGUGUACGAACGAGAUAUCCAGCAACAAGAAGAAUAUUUAUUACGUUUUGCAUAAAAUUGUUUCUAACUUGAGUGUUGGAGUAUCUUUAUUGUUUAAUGCAGGUCUUGGUUUUGUAUUCCUAACUCUAACUCUACGUUUAUUAUGUUUUGCAUAAAAUUGUUUCUAACUUGAGUGUUGGAGUAUCUUUAUUGUUUUUUGCAGGUCUUGGCUUUGUAUUCCUAACUCUAACUCUAUGUUUAUUAUGUUUUGCAUAAAAUUGUUUCUAACUUGAGCCUUGGAGUAUCUUUAUUGUUUUUGCAGGUCUUGGCUUUGUAUUCCUAACUCUAACUCUAUGUUUAUUAACCCUUAACUCUACGUUUAUUAUGUUUUGCAUAAAACUGUUUCUAACUUGAGCGUCGGAGUAUCUUCCUUGUUUUUUUGCAGGUCUUGCCUUUGUAUUCCUAUGGCCAAUUCAAUUAGUAGAGUUGUUGAAAUGGAAUGCUGGUACCUCGCGGGGAACGUCAUCUGUUUGGCUUUUGAUCAGUUUGCCUCUAGGGUAUGUCUGACUUUAAAGGAUACAAAUGAAGACAGAUCAGUCCUGUGAAUCAUGUACUAAUGAGAUCCUCCUCUUCCCUGAAGGAGGCUGCAUUUUAACUCAAAAGGUCUUGUCUGCUUAUUGGGUGGCCACUCGCCAGGGAGAACUUGUAAUGUGGAACGCUGGUGCCUGGUAGAGAAUGCCUGGCAUUUGACCAGUCUGUUGUCAAGGCUUAACAUGCAAAAGACGUGCCAGGAGAUUUAGCAGGAUGUGAAAAGCGCAGGAUGUGAAAAGUGCAACGAUGCGGUGAGACUUGAUAAGCCUGGUGGUCUGUUGAGAGAUAAAAAUGAACAAUUGGUGGUUCCAGAGGUUCUUUGCGUUGCGUAGUUUUUCCUGAUGAAGCUCCGAGCAACAUUGUGAGUAAGCAGGGUAGUGAAAGUAGAAACGAAUCUGAAGGCAAUGUCACUAAAGAGAUGCAAACUUAUUGGUAAAAUUGAGGAGGAUAUAUCCGCCACGAAUUCUGUUGUGGUUCACGCGAAGCUGACAUCAUGCCUUUCUGCUGCAAUCUCCUUGACUCCAUCAUCAAUAGUGAAUGAGAAUUAGAUGGAAUAGUGGUUGUAAAUUCUGACUGAGGAUGAUGUUGUGCCUGCAGAUAUGGUCCAAAAUUGAUGUUGAGGUGCUUCUCAUGUGCAGGAGAAGGCAGGCCGGAUUUUAAGAAUAUGGACCGUUUUUGUAGAAGUUUUAGGAUGUUUUUGAACAAUGCCAAGUUUAUUAUUACGUAGUUA